GACGAACGCUGGCGGCGUGCUUAACACAUGCAAGUCGAACGGAAAGGCCCUGCUUUUGUGGGGUGCUCGAGUGGCGAACGGGUGAGUAACACGUGAGUAACCUGCCCUUGACUUUGGGAUAACUUCAUGAAACUGGGGCUAAUACCGGAUAGGAGCUCCUGCUGCAGGGUGGGGGUGGGAAAGUUUCGGCGGUUGGGGAUGGACUCGCGGCUUAUCAGCUUGUUGGUGGGGUAGUGGCUUACCAAGGCUUUGACGGGUAGCCGGCCUGAGAGGGUGACCGGCCACAUUGGGACUGAGAUACGGCCCAGACUCCUACGGGAGGCAGCAGUGGGGAAUAUUGCACAAUGGGCGGAAGCCUGAUGCAGCAACGCCGCGUGCGGGAUGACGGCCUUCGGGUUGUAAACCGCUUUCGCCUGUGACGAAGCGUGAGUGACGGUAAUGGGUAAAGAAGCACCGGCUAACUACGUG
rnacentral:rRNA from 1 species